rnacentral:snRNA from 1 species
AUGAUUACCUGGCAGGGGAGAUACCAUGAUCACGAAGGUGGUUUUCCCAGGGUGAGGAUCAUCCAUUGCACUGCGGAUGUGCUGACCCCUGAGAUUUCCCCAGAUGUGGGAAACUCAACUGCAUAAAAUAA